rnacentral:misc_RNA from 1 species
UUUCCGUAGGUGAACCUGCGGAAGGAUCAUUACAGUAGUCACCCAGGUUGCCGCAAGGCCUCCUGGGUAACCUACCACCCUUUGUUUACUACACUUUGUUGCUUUGGCAAGCCUGCCCUCGGGCUGCUGGCUCCGGCCGGCGAGCGCUUGCCAGAGGACCUAAACUCUGUUUGUCUAUACUGUCUGAGUACUAUAUAAUAGUUAAAACUUUCAACAACGGAUCUCUUGGUUCUG